rnacentral:tRNA from 1 species
GAUGCUAUGAUGAAAUGGUAUACAUGGUCGCCUUGAAAGCGGCUGCCCUUGUGGCGUGCAGGUUCGACUCCUGCUAGCAUCU